rnacentral:rRNA from 1 species
GAUGAACGCUGGCGGCGUGCUUAACACUUGCAAGUCGAACGAUGAAGCCCAGCUUGCUGGGUGGAUUAGUGGCGAACGGGUGAGUAACACGUGAGUAACCUGCCCUUAACUCUGGGAUAAGCCUGGGAAACUGGGUUUAAUACCGGAUAGGAGCGUCCACCGCAUGGUGGGUGUUGGAAAGAUUUAUCGGUUUUGGAUGGACUCGCGGCCUAUCAGCUUGUUGGUGAGGUAAUGGCUCACCAAGGCGACGACGGGUAGCCGGCCUGAGAGGGUGACCGGCCACACUGGGACUGAGACACGGCCCAGACUCCUACGGGAGGCAGCAGUGGGGAAUAUUGCACAAUGGGCGCAAGCCUGAUGCAGCGACGCCGCGUGAGGGAUGACGGCCUUCGGGUUGUAAACCUCUUUCAGUAGGGAAGAAGCGAAAGUGACGGUACCUGCAGAAGAAGCACCGGCUAACUACGUG